UACGUAGGGUGCGAGCGUUGUCCGGAAUUAUUGGGCGUAAAGAGCUCGUAGGCGGUCUGUCGCGUCGAUCGUGAAAACUUGGGGCUUAACCCUGAGCUUGCGGUCGAUACGGGCAUGACUGGAGUUCGGCAGGGGAGACUGGAAUUCCUGGUGUAGCGGUGAAAUGCGCAGAUAUCAGGAGGAACACCGGUGGCGAAGGCGGGUCUCUGGGCAACAACUGACGCUGAGGAGCGAAAGCGUGGGGAGCAAACAGG
rnacentral:rRNA from 1 species